rnacentral:rRNA from 1 species
GGGUUGUGAGGUUAAGCGACUAAGCGUACACGGUGGAUGCCCUGGCAGUCAGAGGCGAUGAAGGACGUGCUAAUCUGCGAUAAGCGUCGGUGAGGUGAUAUGAACCGUUAUAACCGGCGAUUUCCGAAUGGGGAAACCCAGUGUGUUUCGACACACUAUCAUUAACUGAAUCCAUAGGUUAAUGAGGCGAACCGGGGGAACUGAAACAUCUAAGUACCCCGAGGAAAAGAAAUCAACCGAGAUUCCCCCAGUAGCGGCGAGCGAACGGGGAGGAGCCCAGAGCCUGAAUCAGUGUGUGUGUUAGUGGAAGCGUCUGGAAAGGCGUGCGAUACAGGGUGACAGCCCCGUACACAAAAAUGCACAUAUUGUGAGCUCGAUGAGUAGGGCGGGACACGUGGUAUCCUGUCUGAAUAUGGGGGGACCAUCCUCCAAGGCUAAAUACUCCUGACUGACCGAUAGUGAACCAGUACCGUGAGGGAAAGGCGAAAAGAACCCCGGCGAGGGGAGUGAAAAAGAACCUGAAACCGUGUACGUACAAGCAGUGGGAGCCUCUUAAUGGGGUGACUGCGUACCUUUUGUAUAAUGGGUCAGCGACUUAUAUUCUGUAGCAAGGUUAACCGAAUAGGGGAGCCGAAGGGAAACCGAGUCUUAACUGGGCGUUAAGUUGCAGGGUAUAGACCCGAAACCCGGUGAUCUAGCCAUGGGCAGGUUGAAGGUUGGGUAACACUAACUGGAGGACCGAACCGACUAAUGUUGAAAAAUUAGCGGAUGACUUGUGGCUGGGGGUGAAAGGCCAAUCAAACCGGGAGAUAGCUGGUUCUCCCCGAAAGCUAUUUAGGUAGCGCCUCGUGAAUUCAUCUCCGGGGGUAGAGCACUGUUUCGGCAAGGGGGUCAUCCCGACUUACCAACCCGAUGCAAACUGCGAAUACCGGAGAAUGUUAUCACGGGAGACACACGGCGGGUGCUAACGUCCGUCGUGAAGAGGGAAACAACCCAGACCGCCAGCUAAGGUCCCAAAGUCAUGGUUAAGUGGGAAACGAUGUGGGAAGGCCCAGACAGCCAGGAUGUUGGCUUAGAAGCAGCCAUCAUUUAAAGAAAGCGUAAUAGCUCACUGGUCGAGUCGGCCUGCGCGGAAGAUGUAACGGGGCUAAACCAUGCACCGAAGCUGCGGCAGCGACACUAUGUGUUGUUGGGUAGGGGAGCGUUCUGUAAGCCUGUGAAGGUGGCCUGUGAGGGUUGCUGGAGGUAUCAGAAGUGCGAAUGCUGACAUAAGUAACGAUAAAGCGGGUGAAAAGCCCGCUCGCCGGAAGACCAAGGGUUCCUGUCCAACGUUAAUCGGGGCAGGGUGAGUCGACCCCUAAGGCGAGGCCGAAAGGCGUAGUCGAUGGGAAACAGGUUAAUAUUCCUGUACUUGGUGUUACUGCGAAGGGGGGACGGAGAAGGCUAUGUUGGCCGGGCGACGGUUGUCCCGGUUUAAGCGUGUAGGCUGGUUUUCCAGGCAAAUCCGGAAAACCAAGGCUGAGGCGUGAUGACGAGGCACUACGGUGCUGAAGUGACAAAUGCCCUGCUUCCAGGAAAAGCCUCUAAGCAUCAGGUAACAUCAAAUCGUACCCCAAACCGACACAGGUGGUCAGGUAGAGAAUACCAAGGCGCUUGAGAGAACUCGGGUGAAGGAACUAGGCAAAAUGGUGCCGUAACUUCGGGAGAAGGCACGCUGAUAUGUAGGUGAAGCGACUUGCUCGUGGAGCUGAAAUCAGUCGAAGAUACCAGCUGGCUGCAACUGUUUAUUAAAAACACAGCACUGUGCAAACACGAAAGUGGACGUAUACGGUGUGACGCCUGCCCGGUGCCGGAAGGUUAAUUGAUGGGGUUAGCGGUAACGCGAAGCUCUUGAUCGAAGCCCCGGUAAACGGCGGCCGUAACUAUAACGGUCCUAAGGUAGCGAAAUUCCUUGUCGGGUAAGUUCCGACCUGCACGAAUGGCGUAAUGAUGGCCAGGCUGUCUCCACCCGAGACUCAGUGAAAUUGAACUCGCUGUGAAGAUGCAGUGUACCCGCGGCAAGACGGAAAGACCCCGUGAACCUUUACUAUAGCUUGACACUGAACAUUGAGCCUUGAUGUGUAGGAUAGGUGGGAGGCUUUGAAGUGUGGACGCCAGUCUGCAUGGAGCCGACCUUGAAAUACCACCCUUUAAUGUUUGAUGUUCUAACGUUGGCCCGUAAUCCGGGUUGCGGACAGUGUCUGGUGGGUAGUUUGACUGGGGCGGUCUCCUCCUAAAGAGUAACGGAGGAGCACGAAGGUUGGCUAAUCCUGGUCGGACAUCAGGAGGUUAGUGCAAUGGCAUAAGCCAGCUUGACUGCGAGCGUGACGGCGCGAGCAGGUGCGAAAGCAGGUCAUAGUGAUCCGGUGGUUCUGAAUGGAAGGGCCAUCGCUCAACGGAUAAAAGGUACUCCGGGGAUAACAGGCUGAUACCGCCCAAGAGUUCAUAUCGACGGCGGUGUUUGGCACCUCGAUGUCGGCUCAUCACAUCCUGGGGCUGAAGUAGGUCCCAAGGGUAUGGCUGUUCGCCAUUUAAAGUGGUACGCGAGCUGGGUUUAGAACGUCGUGAGACAGUUCGGUCCCUAUCUGCCGUGGGCGCUGGAGAACUGAGGGGGGCUGCUCCUAGUACGAGAGGACCGGAGUGGACGCAUCACUGGUGUUCGGGUUGUCAUGCCAAUGGCACUGCCCGGUAGCUAAAUGCGGAAGAGAUAAGUGCUGAAAGCAUCUAAGCACGAAACUUGCCCCGAGAUG